GCGUCUGUAGCCUAGUUGGUAAAGGCAGCACUCUAGUACUGAGUUCAUGGGUUUGACUCCCAUCAGACACA
rnacentral:tRNA from 1 species